UGGUCACUAGGUGGCAGCGCUAUUUCAUCUGUGGUCGACAGAACGACGUGCUUGCUCGAGCACAAACAACUCAAAAUAUCGCCAAAAACUAAAUCGUCUGUAAACAUCUGGAUGCCGAGGAUCUGAAGGAGCAUGUGCAGGAAAACCAUCCAAUCUCAUCUUCAUCAUCUGCAUUUUUGGCCCUGUUCUUCGUUUCAAAAGUAUAUACGCAAAAGCACACAUACUUGGACUGAACUUAUGUUUUUGCCAUUCGUUGGCAGUAUUUUUGAGGUUGAGAUGAAAAGAUUAUUAAGAAGGAUGAUUGUAUGACACUUCUGAAGAAUUUGUGAAGAGUCUUUUCAAAGGCUCUCUGGUUUUUGCCUAGUAAUCAAGGAUCUGAGCUGGAAACACAAAGGUCAAAGUUUGACCCCUGGCAUGGAUGACACCAUUAUGCAACUCCGUUAACCCAGCGUUGCUCCUGGAGCCUGCCUGACAAUUGAGAAUGAGUUCCAGAAGAAGAGAUGUUGCCUCGAGGGUUUUUGGCCUCAGCAGUCUAUAGGCCAUGGAAAUGGAAAACGUCUGUUUGCAGCGACCAGAGGCUUUCGCUUAAGAGAUUGAUGCACCUUGAAAUUCUCUGUCAGUCUUGUCAUGAACAUAUGCAUUAGUGUGCAUCCUGGUUUUUCUUCUUCUUUUUUUUUUUGUGCUCACACGGCAGCUUUCUUCUGUCUGGAUCUGAUUUUAACAUGCCAGUUUUACUUUUAUGCAUUUGCCAGAUCCUCUUAUCCAAAUAGACUUAAAUUGCAUUCAGGGUACACAAGUUAUCAGUUCAUGCGUUCCCUGGAAAUUGAACCAAUGUUCUGUAGCAGCGCGCUUUAUUGUUUGAACUACAGGAAAGGCAAGCUGGAAUUGUAAAGCUUCACCGGCUUCAUACUUUGUGGUUCUUGCUUUCCAAUUGCAAAUUAAGGUGAGACAUUCAACAUUGAGAUCCAUUGAGAUGAGAGCAGUGAAUCACUGUGAAAGAAUUAUGGCUUUCUGCUCAGUAGGCUGCCUAAAAAGAACAAAGGUCUCUCCGAGUUCACACACUUUCUCAGACAAUUGGCCCAUAAGCCAGUGCGCAUUGUUAUGCAGCAUAAGGUUAUAAUGUUUUGCAUUUCCUACAGCAAGACUGAAGAGAAGUUGAGAAGUGAUGUUAUGGGCUGGAAAUUUUAUGAGCCAUGUCACGGUAUCCAUGGUGUCUUUUAUUUCCUCGCUCAUUUUGGCACACUACACUGAUUUAUCAAUAAUGCAGUGAAAUGCUGUUAGCACUGGGAGUGCAGCAGUUAGUCUGCUUAACAGACCCUUGUACUGUCCACCCACAGAGCUCCAUCAAUAACAGCCAUGCCUUUUCCAAGGCUAAGUGAUUUAUUUAAUUUAUCUUUUAAAUUCUCACUAUAAUGUCGUACAAACCUCCAUAAGAAUUGACUUCUAUAGAACACGAAGAUGUUUUGCAGAAUGUACAAGCUGCUUUUUUCCAUAAAGUGGAGUAAACUGUAACCAGUGGCAAACAAGUUACAAAAACACAAUAAAUGCAGUCUAUAAGACUUUUUUUUGUAGUCUUAUAAAUUCAUACUAUAUCUUUGGAAACUCGACUCAAAUCUGAAGUUAUUGUUUGCCAAAAAUGUUAUUCUCCGCCAUAGUUCUGAAAUUGUAUAUCACCGUUGAAAGGAAGAUUUUUUAUUUUUAUAAUAUUUUAUUCAGCAAGGAUGCAUUGCUGAUAUGUUGAAAAUGAUCAAAAGUGACAGUAAAGACU